rnacentral:rRNA from 1 species
UACGUAGGGGGCAAGCGUUGUCCGGAUUUAUUGGGCGUAGAGAGCGUGUAGGCGGCCAGACAGGUCCGUUGUGAAAACUCGAGGCUCAACCUCGAGAUGUCGAUGGAAACCGUCUGGCUAGAGUCCGGAAGAGGAGUGUGGAAUUCCUGGUGUAGCGGUGAAAUGCGCAGAUAUCAGGAAGAACACCUAUGGCGAAGGCAGCACUCUGGGACGGUACUGACGCUGAGACGCGAAAGCGUGGGGAGCGAACAGG